AAAGAAUUAGUUAAUUUCAUAACAUUAGUAUGUCAAACUAAAAUUAUUAUAUCAAUAAUAUUCUUUA
rnacentral:tRNA from 1 species